rnacentral:rRNA from 1 species
GAUGAACGCUAGCGGCAGGCCUAAUACAUGCAAGUCAAGGGGAUAGCAAUAUCACCGGCGGACGGGUGCGUAACGCGUACACAACGUGCCCAAGGGCGGAGGAAAGCGGCGGGAAACUGCCGGUAAUACUCCAUGGUGUUGUUGAGUGGCAUCACUUAACAACUAAAGUACAAGCGCCCUUGGAUCGGUGUGCGUUCGAUUAGCUAGUUGGCGGGGUAACGGCCCACCAAGGCUUCGAUCGAUAGGGGGUGUGAGAGCAUGACCCCCCCACACGGGUACUGAGACACGGACCCGACUCCUACGGGAGGCAGCAGUAAGGAAUAUUGGACAAUGGGCGGAAGCCUGAUCCAGCCAUGCCGCGUGAAGGACGAAGGCGCUCAGCGUUGUAAACUUCUUUUGGAUGGGAACAAUAACUCCGACUUGUCGGAACUUGAGGGUACCAUCAGAAUAAGCACCGGCUAACUCCGUGCCAGCAGCCGCGGUAAUGUCACAUG